GCAUUUCCAUCACUCUGGUGCAUAUCUUAAUACUUGAAUUAAAAUUAUUUCAGUUAAUCAACAUUCAAACUUUUUCUUCAUUUUCCUAAAAUAUACUACAACUGUUUCGUGGUCAAAACAAAAGCAGUCACUAUCUCUUCUACUGAAUUUAAAAUGACAAAUGCUUUUGUGUUUGUAAAUUUUCAAAUUUCAUUCUGGCGAUCCCUUCUUUCUCUCUCUCUCUCUGUUUCUUCCGGCUGCUUCAGUGGAUCAUCCACAUAUCUACUUGGCACAGGUUUUACAACAAAUUCCCUUCCUGGUGUGACCCAGCACUGAGAGUGCACUCAUGCAAUCCCAGUGGCUGACAAUCUAAAAAUCCAUUAACCAUGUAACCCAAUUAAUUAAGGAUUUAAGUAUAUUUUUCCUUGUUAUUCCAUACCUCCAUAUUUGACUUUUGAUUCACUCUGUCAUAUAUUGUUAUUAUACUCACAUAUAUAUACACCUACUCAUCCUUUAUAGUUCAAUUAUAUCUUUAACAUAUACCUUUUAAUAUUGUAAUCCUAUUUCUCAAUAUGUCUGUCCUCAUUUAGGAAUAUGUAUCUUGUUAUCUGUCAAACUUCGAUCAUAUUUUCACUUAGGUGUCAAACUUGUUCAUAAAUCUUUUUUUUUUUUUUUUAUAUUAUUAUUACAUUCUAUUUUUCCAAGUACUGCCCCUUUCUCAUUCAAGCUAGCUUAUGAGCUUUAUUAUUGCCACAGAUAUUACUGUUUUUUCUUUAGAAUUGUCUGGUUGGGUAAAAAGGUUAAGUCCUCUCAACUUUUCUACAUUUUAACUAAAUCAGAAAUUUACCUUUCAAUUUGGCAUAACAAUCUCUCCUUUUUUUUAUUAAAAAUCUUUUUACCCUUUUAUUGUCUGUUGCUGGGAUGUCUGGUGAAAUUAUUCCUCCUUUUUCUGAGUGCCCUUGACACUCCCGUGAGCUCUGCGUUCUGGGCUGUGCCUGGAACUGACUCUCUUAUCUCGGCUCGUUUCUCCUGCUUCAAAAUGAAAUCUUCAGUGCACAUAUUUUUUUUUACAAACAAUUGUACUUUUUCUUUCUUUUCCUUUUUCAUCACUAACAGCUGUUACAACAUAAGAUAUCUAUUUUCUUUUUAUUAUCAUUUAUUGAUUUUUCUUCCUUUGCCAUUUUUCUAUUUGAGGCACUUUUUAAAUCUUCAUCAUAUGAGCUGUUUACAGCUGCAUCGACUUCUAACCUCGGUCCGAACUUUUCAGCUUGGAAUAUCUUUUACAAAGAACUGCUAACAUUUUAUUAACAAAAACAAUCAAGCACAGUUGAUUUUCUUUAUUGCCAGUUUCUUUUCAAACAGACCCUCGGUUUGAGCAAUACGGUUAAGGGUGAACACCGGCCUGACUUUAUCUGUCCGUCUGGUGGUGUCACGAUUGGGUCCUCUGCACCAGAUCUCCUGGGCCACCAGAGGGAGCCCUCUCCCGAGUAUUAGGUUCAUUUGGACUACAAUUCCCAUACACCCACAUACCUGGGACUGAUCACGCUCGCACCUGCUGCCAAUCACUUCAUUACCCAUGCACUAUAAAACACCCAUUCUCACACUGUUCCUUGCGAAGUCUUGAUCAGCCAUGGUUAUCAUUUCUGAGCGUUCUUUCCUGUUUGUUUGCCUGUUAUCGAUUGGAUUGUUAUUCUGGACUGUGAUUCUUGCUGCCUGCCUACUUGACUGGCUGUUAUUGCUUAUUCCUGCCUGCCGCCUGCCUCGACCUCUUUGCCUGUCCCUGUUUACCCUGUCUGCCGCCUGCCUCGACCCUCUGCCUGUUACCUGGUUUAUGAUUCCUGUAUUGUCCUUGUUGUUGAAUAAACUGCAAAUGGAUCAAUACCUUUCUGAGUCGUUACAGGUGGUUUAAAUAGUAUUCUUUUUGGCACUCUACCACACCUAUAAGAAUAUAAAACAUUUUCUUUAGCUUUAUGUAUCAACAGUACCUAUCACAUUUCCCUUUUCUAGGAGCCUUAUACUGUAAUUUUAUCACAGGUAC